CCCGGGCUCAACCUGGGAACUGCAUUCGAAACUGGCAGGCUAGAGUCUUGUAGAGGGGGGUAGAAUUCCAGGUGUAGCGGUGAAAUGCGUAGAGAUCUGGAGGAAUACCGGUGGCGAAGGCGGCCCCCUGGACAAAGACUGACGCUCAGGUGCGAAAGCGUGGGGAGCAAACAGGAUUAGAUACCCUGGUAGUCCACGCCGUAAACGAUGUCGAUUUGGAGGUUGUGCCCUUGAGGCGUGGCUUCCGGAGCUAACGCGUUAAAUCGACCGCCUGGGGAGUACGGCCGCAAGGUUAAAACUCAAAUGAAUUGACGGGGGCCCGCACAAGCGGUGGAGCAUGUGGUUUAAUUCGAUGCAACGCGAAGAACCUUACCUGGUCUUGACAUCCACAGAACUUUCCAGAGAUGGAUUGGUGCCUUCGGGAACUGUGAGACAGGUGCUGCAUGGCUGUCGUCAGCUCGUGUUGUGAAAUGUUGGGUUAAGUCCCGCAACGAGCGCAACCCUUAUCCUUUGUUGCCAGCGGUUAGGCCGGGAACUCAAAGGAGACUGCCAGUGAUAAACUGGAGGAAGGUGGGGAUGACGUCAAGUCAUCAUGGCCCUUACGACCAGGGCUACACACGUGCUACAAUGGCAUAUACAAAGAGAAGCGACCUCGCGAGAGCAAGCGGACCUCAUAAAGUAUGUCGUAGUCCGGAUUGGAGUCUGCAACUCGACUCCAUGAAGUCGGAAUCGCUAGUAAUCGUAGAUCAGAAUGCUACGGUGAAUACGUUCCCGGGCCUUGUACACACCGCCCGUCACACCAUGGGAGUGGGUUGCAAAAGAAGUAGGUAGCUUAACCUUCGGGAGGGCGCUUACCACUUUGUGAUUCAUGACUGGGGUGAAGUCGUAACAAGGUAACCGUAGGGGAACCUGCGGUUGGAUCACCUCCUU
rnacentral:rRNA from 1 species